GUCAGUCAAACUUAGUUUAGGCAUCAUCUAAAGGACUCAAAGAAACUUGCUACAAGAAAUAGCUCUCAUCAGGCCAUGUUGGUUGGUUCAUCUUCAGAAUAAAAUAUCUUGCCAAUUAGUUCUCCUUUCUGUACUUCGAAUACUGGAAAAGCUCGAGCACUUUUGUCAUUAAUGCUAUACAUGCAGAGGACACUGCAUAUUCAAGUUUGGAGAUGAGUGUAAGUUAUCUGGAAGCAUAUAACUCUGGCUGAGUUCUCUGAAGAAGCUUACAGUCCUAAGCUCUUCAAUCUAAUCAAGUAACUGGUGCAAGUUUUGGGGAUUUGAAUAUGUUGACUGGCUCAGUUCGUACAGAUGUACCUGAGAUUCUUUGGGUUCGUCAAUUCCUUUUUAGGCAAUGUAUCUCCUGCUCUAAAGAGGCUGAAGGAAGGAUUCCUUUCUGAAAGAAUUUGGGAAUAUCUGGAGUUGGAUAUCGAGCAUUGAAAAAUUGAAAAGUCAAUCCAGCCAGACCCGAACCCUAUGGUUCCAGUGCAACUGGUCUUCUAACUAGAGACAUACCAGAAACAGCAAAUCUGUGCUUGCCUUGCAACCAAACUCAGGUGCACAUGUUGAUCAAAAAUUGCGAGGGCCUCAUAUUAUUGUUUGCAUAAUACUUAUCACUAUUGCAGUGUCUCCGAGAUAAAAGCUCAGGACCUCCUUUAAUAUGACGGUAAUAACUAUACUGGCCAGCGAUAAGGGAUUUACAGAUAGAGUAGUUCUUCUUGUAAAGGCAGUGUGUCUUAAGCUUAAUUCUUAUCACUCCUACAAUCCUUAAGAUUGAAGAGGAACUACCUCUAAACUAUCUUGAAAUAAAUCCAGAAACUUUAUGAA